UGGAAGUAGUCAGUGCAUUGACCACGUCCAAAAUUCAUGUUGGACUGACCAUUAAUGUAAACCUAGGUUAAUAAAAACCUGAAAUGGUUUUAAAGGCGAACAGUUCGGCGAACAGAUGUCAGUAAAAAAAGGGAGCUCAAAGACUUUUAAUCUUAUACUGCCCAACGAUGGCCGAAAUACAAUACUUUUAUACUUAAGAAUCAUAUUAAGAAUAUUGCAGUGAAUAAAAGGUCAAUCCUUUUAGGAAACUGCGGCUAUCUAUCAGACCAAUGACUCGCCUUCAGUACGGUCAUUUCUCUGCUGUUUGUGAGUCGCCGAUAGUCGGGCGGGGGGAAAGAAAAACUCCCUAGGGCAGGGUCUGUUCAUAUUCCAGGUUCCCAAGGCUAGGACUUGAUAGCCUGGAGUACGAACAAACCUAUUGCCCCAAACAAACCCCCUAAACUCACAGUGGAACAGCAAUGCUGGCGAACUUGCUUGACGGGGUAGAGUCAAGCUUAAUAGCGAACUCCGUAGCAGGUCUGGCCAACCUACGGUUUCAAUUUGUCCUUCUCAUGGGGCGCUCAUGGGUGACCAACCUGCACUGUUUAUUAAAAUUUACUUUUUUUAUGGAUUUAAAUACACUAAACUCUAUGGACUGCACACCUUUAAAUGUGCAAAAUAUGACUUUAUAAAGCCAAAACUCAUCACUGGCCGAGGGGGCACAUGGUACCUUCGUUAGUGAACAAAUAGACCACGACUUGUUGAAGGGGGCACCUGGUCCUCUACCCGACAAACCGGAAGAGAUGAACAUUCCACUUAGCCAGAAGUCGGCUGGAAUGUCCAUUACCUCGGAACAGGAGAGAGAUCUUCUUGAGCCUGGUCCAACCAAAAAGACUCAAACAAGAGUGAAGCUAUUCGGCUCUGGAUACAAAAGGUUGAAGGCUUUACUUGCCAAGGGCAUUCUGCUGGAAACAGCAAGGUCCUUGGCAGUAAAGCCGCCCACCGCAAGUAACGAAGGACAGGCAAUACUAAAACGAUCCCGAUCGGACAGCUCUACACCAACAUCGAGCUCCAAACCGACAAAGCGGAUUGCAUUACAGGGCAAAAAAGUUGAUAACAAAACAAAAGUGCCUGCAACUGGUUUGUCGAUUUUCAGCAGGAUGAAGGAAGUAGAGACCUUACACGGGGCAAACCUGAUCGCAGUAAUGAGGUGGCAACGGUAUCUGUGGGGCAGGCUAAACAGAGCGUUUCUUCCGAAGACUUCUGUACAAAGCCUACUCUAGCAGAGACUGUUCGCUCUAAGAAGAUCGGUAUACUACCGCACAAUUUCCCAGAGAGCAUUUGGUCCAAUAAGGAAAUUGGUAAGGUGCAGAAAUGCAUCCUCGACAAGAUGUACGAAACUUGUAAACUGCUUCAUUCCAAGUCCAUCAGAAUAACUUGAACUGAACGAACAUCGUAAUGCUCGAGGACUUUGACGCAUCACUAACUAAUGAUAUGUAUUCUAUUAAGGCUAUAUAAAAUGUACUUUAACUUUAAUUUAAUUUAAAAUUCAACAACAUGUAACUAGUAAUUAAAAGUACGUUUGAACUAAAACUAACUCGAAAGAUUACAAAGAGUCUAUACUUCAUACAAAUACCCAACUACUCGUAUCAAUGGCAUAUGGCAGAAACAGACGACUUUCGGUUAAACAAGUAGUGAAGAAGGAACCAUAUUUCCAAUCACCAUGACAUAGUUUUAAUUCCUCCUCAGUAGCUUGACGAUAAAUUGAUGGAAAAUAGGGGUUCAAUAGCUGCCGUGCUUACUUAGCAACUAGUUCUUAUUUUUGUGGAUAUCUGAAAUAAAUUUUGACUGUUCCUUAAAGACACAACAAGCAAACAUCACACCUAGUCAGGAGUAAGACUAAAGAAAGGUGACAGCUUCGAUGCUGAAGUAAACCAAUUAGGAAGAAAAUGAUGAUGGAAUGUGUUUUCUCUAUGUAAAUUAAUAAAACUUGGUGGCGAGAGAGUUUCAAUCGCAUAGUUGCAUGAUCCAUCAUGAUAUUCAUCUAAUAUACAAACAUCAGAGAGCAUAUAAAAUUUACAUAUUUAUUUAAAUUUAUAUAAGAAAAGAUACAAUAAA